rnacentral:rRNA from 1 species
CCUACGGGUGGCAGCAGUGAGGAAUAUUGGUCAAUGGCCGGGAGGCUGAACCAGCCAAGUCGCGUGAGGGAAGACGGCCCUACGGGUUGUAAACCUCUUUUGUCAGGGAGCAAGGUGCAGGUCGGGACCUGCUGUGAGAGUACCUGAAGAAAAAGCAUCGGCUAACUCCGUGCCAGCAGCCGCGGUAAUACGGAGGAUGCGAGCGUUAUCCGGAUUUAUUGGGUUUAAAGGGUGCGUAGGCGGAAUGCCAAGUCAGCGGUAAAAUCGCGGGGCUCAACCUCGCUCCGCCGUUGAAACUGGCGUUCUUGAGUGGGCGAGAAGUAUGCGGAAUGCGUGGUGUAGCGGUGAAAUGCAUAGAUAUCACGCAGAACUCCGAUUGCGAAGGCAGCAUACCGGCGCCCAACUGACGCUGAAGCACGAAAGCGUGGGUAUCGAACAGGAUUAGAUACCCCGGUAGUC